rnacentral:ncRNA from 1 species
UGCAAGCGUUAUCCGGAAUGAUUGGGCGUAAAGCGUCUGUAGGUGGCUUUUCAAGUCCGCCGUCAAAUCCCAGGGCUCAACCCUGGACAGGCGGUGGAAACUACCAAGCUGGAGUACGGUAGGGGCAGAGGGAAUUUCCGGUGAAGCGGUGAAAUGCAUUGAGAUCGGAAAGAACAACCAAACGGCGAAAAAGCACCUCCUGCUGGGCC